rnacentral:piRNA from 1 species
UAGCCAUAGCGUCCUCAGACCACAUUUC